rnacentral:lncRNA from 1 species
GCUAUUUAGGCAGACAAGCUUCAGCUGUAAGUGAAGGGGUUGGGACUUUGUUACUGGGGUCUGCCACUUCCAAAGGGGCCAAAGAUUUAGAGCAGGAAAAGGAGUUAAAGAUUAUAUUUUCUUCAUUUUCUAGAUAAAGAAAUUUAAGCCUCGAGGUUUUCAAUGAAUUUCUAACUAUUACACAGUGAAUGGGAAGGUUGGAAUUCAAACCCAGGUCCUCCGAUUCCAAAUCCGCAACUCUUCCCAUUGAUUCACAGAGAAAUUUAGGAAUGGCUUUCUAAAGUGAUGUGUAUCCAUGACGGGCCAAUGACAUUACAUAUUCCAGUGAACCUAUUCUGUGAUACCCUGGCAAUCCAAGCAGAAUUACAGCUCAACCAAAACCAACUGGAUAAUGACAAUUGCCCUCUCCAUGAGCGAUUUGGGAUAACUAAGUCCUCACUUGGAAAAAUAACCCAACAAUACCUAAAGCUCUUGUAUCAGGGUCUGGUGAGGGUGGCUCAGCAAGCUAGACCAAGAGAGGCGUUCAGCAGGGAAGAGACCAGCUCUAUUGUCUUGUUCCUAGUUCGGCUCAUCCUCUUUGAGAAAAUGUAUUUUUUGGGCCAAGGUAGCCGCUCUGUCCCUCGUCGUAUCCAAGUUCACAUCGACUCCUCUUCACUGGGUGGUCCUUGUUUUCUCCUACACGGAGCACUCUAAGCCAUUAACACUCAGUUUGGAGCAAGGGUUUCAGCCUGCCCAGAGCGACCUAUCAAAGAGCAGAUAACAAGGCGCAGCUUCAUCUGGCGUUUCAGAGGAUCUGGGGAAGGGUUUGCUCCUUCCCGUUCACUUAGGCACCAAUGCUAUUGACUUUACCAUUCCAAGUGGAUUUCUGGUCCAGCUGGCAUCACAGAAUGCUUAUAUAAAAGAAAUCACUUCAUGUUGCCACCCGCACUGUCAUACCCACUGUGUGCAAUGCCAUCAUUUUUCUAAUUAUACCUAUAACUAUCCAAUUAAAUAAAAAUUUAUUGAGCAUUAAAACCA